rnacentral:lncRNA from 1 species
GAUUAAAUAUGAAGUAUGUACAUGCAUUUCCAACUUGUUGGCACAAUUGCUUAUAAUAUGUAUGCUGGAAAAAAUUCUGGACGAUAUGUCGAAUGUAAAAAACAUCAUACGCAUGUGGUUUGGCCCAACCAUUCUUCAAUGACUGACGCUACAUGCAUCUACAACCAUUGAAGGAUAAGUUUCCGCGCCUCCUGCUUCACCAGAGCAGAUGCAAGCGGAAUGGUUUUCCUUGCCCCACCUUGGGAAACAACAACGAUAAGUUCUCAUUGUACCAACCAUACAAGAAAGUGCAAUCUACUUUGACAAGGUUUGCAUUGUUUAAACCCUUCAUCAAGUGGCCUGAAUAUCCAAAAAGACGAUGCAAGAAUCGUGCCCCCUGAACUAUAUUAUUAGCAUCAUAAGUGGGAAUUGUUUCUAUAUCGAAUUUCAUAACUCCCCAAUUAUGUAGGUGGUUGUAAGAUUCCUCCCAGUCCCCGUAAAAUCAUUCUGUGGCCUUUUGUUUGUACUUCCAUGCUUUUUUGUUGACUGUAUAAUGGAAUUGGUUUAAGAUCUCAACAAGCAAUACUGAAACGAUUAUCAAAGGAUCUACUUUGACUAGUGAAAUAAUGGUAUUGCAUAUAACAUUGGCAUCCAACAUUGGAUGAUGCUGCAAUAUCGUGUGUACAAGCCCAAAUUUGCCCGGGGCCAAAAAACCUAAUACACCCAAACCUCUGCCCAAUUAUAAACUUAGCUCAGCAAAACCCAAUACCCAAAAUAAAACCCAUUUACAAAAAUAGGCGGCCCAAACACAAUGAAAACUAGGGUUUUAGAACCCUAGUCUCUGCCACCACCCUAGCGCCGCACCCCCACUUGCUUCUACUACCGUCGUUCGUCACGUCCCAUCCACACCUACUCCCUGCCCUCUGUCACCUACCCACCGCCACUUGCCACAUCAAGUACCUGCAAAGCAACCAAAGCAGUGACAGAAAGAAUAGAAAGAAAUAAAAGAAUAGUUUUUGUAUUUUUUGGAUGGGAGAAUCGGCUAUAAAAGCCAAACUUUUUUGAAAUUUCGGGGUUCUUCUUCUCCCUUUUGUACGAACACUUUAAAAAUAAUAAUAAUAAAAGCAAGAAAAACAUUCAAGGUGAUUUUUUUCUUUUCGGUUUUAUAGAUCUAUUUUUCUUUUUUUCUUUCUUUUGAUUUUUUUUCUUUUACGCAUAUAUAUAAACAAAAGUAGUAAAUAAAAGGGGGAGGAAGAUUUACCGGAGACGUGACCGCACUGUCGGAGUGGUUCUCCGUCGCCUAGCCCGGACCAAGAGAGGGCACAGGGAUCUUUCCCUUUGGCCUUCGAUCUAUGAAGGCUCGGCCUUCAUUCAGCUUUCGAAACGGGGUUCAAAAUCCAUUUUUGUCGCUCUGACCACCGCCCGUGACGGAGCCAUGGUGUUGGUGGCCGGCAGCGCCGCCGGAUGGGGAAGGAGUGGAGAGAACUGAGAGAGAGUUCUCUGUUUUUCUGGAAAAUGAAGUGGGGAAUUUAUUUUUUUU